rnacentral:pre_miRNA from 1 species
GCCUGCCCUCCAGGAGCUCAAAAUCUAGUGGGAAAGGCAGAAAGGCAACUCAAUAGACUGUGAGCUCCUUGAGGGCAAGGG